GUGCUCACUUCGGCAGCACAUAUACUAAAACUGGAACUAUCCAGAGAAGAUUAGCAUGGGCCCCAUGCAAGGGGGAUGACACACAAUUCGUGAAGCAUUCCAUAUUUUU
ensembl:snRNA U6 U6 spliceosomal RNA